rnacentral:sRNA from 1 species
CUGCGGCAAGGAUAGUAGCGGUUAUCCUUUUUGAGUUGUUCUGGCGGAGACAGAAUAACUCAAAAAGAUAUGAGUGGAUAGCCUGGUGACAA